rnacentral:tRNA from 3 species
GGCCUGAUGGUCUAGUGGUAUGAUUCCUGCUUUGGGUGCAGGAGGCCCCGGGUGUAAGUUCACCCAUUCAGAUUCGCAUAGCGAACGCAGUAUCUAACAGCGUUACAGUCGAAUCCCGGUCAGGCCC